UGCGUAUGCAUACCAUCUCGUCGGAAUACUUUUUACGAGUACCAUCUGCUGUACGUCACAUCUAGCGCUCUUCACGUUGCGAGAACUCACCCAGAGUUCCGCUGUGCGGGCCUACAGUCCAUAGAAAGUGCUAGACCUGUACAGGUGGUGAAACAUUUGGUUUGGUUGCAGUUUGGAAUCGGGUUGCCCCGAGAUCGCAGCCCAAAUUGGGCGGUGAACUUCAUCUGAGGCUAAAUACGGCCACAAGACCGACAGCAAACAAAAGUACCGUGAGCAAAAGUUGCAAAGAAAUUUGAGGAGAAAGUUCAAGAGGAUUCUUGUUUGUGUUUUUGUCACUCAUUCGUACUCGCCUCGACUCCUUCCUUCCCUCAAAAGUAUCUCUGCACAUUCAUUGGUAUUCACUGAUAAGCCUCAAUUUAAUCAGGAUGAAUUUAUACCCAGUUUAAUUUCUGCUAAUUACAACUUCAUAUUGUUAGCACUGGUGUAUGUGCUUGUACGUAAGGGUGUUUGUGUGUGUGCAUGCGCAUCUGUGUAUGUAGUUGUUUUUAUUUGGCAUGUUUUGCAUGUGUGUACGUAUAUAUCCAUAU
rnacentral:ncRNA from 1 species